ACAGAGCCGAGCCCGACCUGAGGGGGUCCGAGCAGAGCCGCCUCACGAAAUGAGGCGAAAAGGUGUUUAAGGGAUUUUAAAGUUUUAAGGAUUUCAGUGUGUUAUUCCAUGAACACGUGAACGCUUAGGAAUGAAAAUCAGUUUAUGGAAGAGCUGACCAGCCUUCUGGGGAGGAUCUAAGACAAACCUGCACCUCGCAGAAAGGAGGCAAAAAGCCAAGUGGCAGGAGAUCUGCUGAGAAAGCUGAGGAUGACAGUCUGGCAGGGGAGGAGGGAAGGCAGCAGCCAUACAAAUUAGAGUGUCACUGGGGUCUUGGUAAACAAACUGCUGGCAGAGGGAGGAAGGCAGCAGUAAGCAGGAAUUCCAUGGGAAGGAAUUCUCUGGGAAGGACCAGCAGGGGAAGGACCAGCUUGUUCCUUCAGGGCCAAGUCCUGCCCUGCACCAGCUCCUCCAGUGAUCCCAAACGCUGAGGGAUCCCAUGGAAUAGAGGGCAGAGGAAUUCCUAUGGAAAUUGUAUUCCUUGUGUGGGGAGCCUGUGGAACCAAGUUCCUCUGAGUGUGUUGCUGAAGAACAUCAGGAACCUUAAGAUGUGUCAGCUGUGCAGAAGACAGCAAAGGUUCUUCUCAGUUAAAAACACAACUCAUAAAACAAGACAACUACCAGGUUCCCUUCCUUCAGGAGGGUGGGAGCCUCCAGCCCUGGGAGCCACAGAGCUCCCCUGGACACGGAAAGGAACCCACAGGUAAAAAAGUGUCAGCAUUGCCUAGAGAAGAUGCUGAGAGGAUAAAUGAGCUGGAAGGCACAUCUGCAGCCCCAGAUCACAUUUUCACGUUUGAGUGUGUCAGAGGUGAGAGUUUAGGGGUGAAAAUAACUUUUCUCUUGAUCAGUAAAGCACCAGCUUUAUUUGUUAAGCACUUUUGGGAGCAUCUCAGCUGAUCCUCAGCUUGGGUCAGAUACAGCCACAAAACCAGUUCCCUGGUCUGGUGAAUUCCUGCUUGGGAUGUUCUGGACCUGCUGGAUCCUCCUCUGUGGAGUGGAGAUGCUGAUGGGAGGUGGCAGUGCUGGCAGGUUGGGUUCAUGGUUUGCACAGCUCUCAGGGCAGAAUCUAGAAUGCUUGGUUUCAGAAACAGGGAAUAAAAUGCAGAGUAAGAUUCUGACAAAGUGCAGGUUU